GGCGCUGUGGCUCAAGUGGUAGAGCGCUAGCCUCUUGAGCUGAAGAGCUGAGGGACAGCGCCC
rnacentral:tRNA from 1 species